rfam:Gossypium raimondii Chr01_contig_715, whole genome shotgun sequence.
AAUCUGUGGUGUGGUUAUUUUUUAAUCAACAUUUUGAAACAUUCCCACGCCUUAUAGAAAAAUUUUCCCUCCAUCUGCCUAAAGAGAAAAAUUUAUCAUCUCAGUUG